ACUCCUUGCUAACCCUUGUGGCCCCGCGGCCCCUGGGCGACGGCUGGUACCCCUUAUUUUAACUGAUAUUAGGAUUGUUCCCCUCUAGCCACCUAAUUCUAUGGAGGCUCGGAGAAUCCAGCCGAGCCCAGUGCGUUCACCCGGCUGGCCGACUGUCCCGUAGUGUUUUCCCCACUUGCUUCUGUCUCGCUUAAAAACGCAGUUGACAUUAAUCGAAGGCUUACUGAGUGGUAGAUAGUGCAUUACGCGCUUCGGCUGCGUUAACUAUUUUAAUCACCUUCAAACUCCUGGAAAUCGGUGCUAUUCUCUACGUCUUACAGACAAGGAAACCGGCCAGAACCGUUUGUAAACACUUCCAUAAUUCCCAAGUUCAAGACGCCCUUCCAUGCCUCCUAGUAGAGUGAAGCAAAUACCAGACUCCGCACAGUCAAAACUUCGGUUGUCUCCAGCCAUACCAACAUGCGCACACGUGCGCGUGCACACACACACACACACACCACACACACACACACGCCGAGGCCUGGAGACCUAAUGAAAGGAAUACUCAAUCACAGACUCUCAUCUAACUGACUUACUUUAUGUGUAUGAAUGACUUGCCUGUGCCCAGAGACGUCAGAAGAGGCCAACUGGAUCUCCUGAAACUGGAUUUAUAAAUAGUGUAUGAGGGCGAGGAACCCAGAAGCCUAGGAGCUUUCUAAACGGUGACUGUGGAGAGCAGCCAAGGAUGUAGAAUGGUGCCAAGUUCAGAAUCCUCAAGUUGCUCCCUGCAACUGCAGAAACGCGUGUACAAAGUGUACUUCACAGGGGCAGAGCAUCUCACCUACAAAGAGAGAGCACAGGCGGAUAAUAGUGGGGAUCAGGGAAUAGAGUGUUUCAGGAGAUAGCAAGAGAAUGUUCUCUGAAGAAAAAGCCAACGACUUUUGGAGAAGGAAGAAAGGAGAAUUAAGUCAGAAGUCCUCGCUACACAUAUUUAAAAUGUUUCUCUUAUAGUAAAUUAAUGGCCGAACUUUUAUUACUCCUACAGCAAGCUCAAUGCACUUAAAAAGAUACAUACAAAUGUGGAAAUCCAAAGUUAUUCCUAAUUUGAAAGAUGUUUAAUUUGAAAUAUCCCUGGACCCAAACCACUGCAAAUGUUUAUUGCAUGCUUGUUGUGCACGAGGCACAGGAUGUUACAGAGAAUACCAAGAACGCCGAGCACCAGAAGAGAAUAAAAAUGCCAGUUGGGGAGAUGAGUUGUGGUCUCAUAGAAAUGAGCCAUAAGGCUGGAGCGCAUCUCCUGAUGAUUGCAGAAGGAGUAGCAGAGUCGUUAAUUCGGGGAGACCCUUUUCAUCAUUCAUGCUCUUAAGACCAACUCUGAGAUGGAACUUAAUAUUUUAAAGGAUUUGUAAAGGACCCCGGCGUUUUUUAAGUAUGGCUGUAAGGGAGUUCAAAGCACAACUAGGAACUCUCCUGCCUCAGACUCCCAAGAUCUGGAAUUACAGGCACACUUCACCACACCUGGUCUUCGGCGUGACUGCAGUUUUAAAGCGUGAUGUUAGUCCUUAUGGACUCCUGUAGCAAGACCUCCAAGUCAGGUCGCUCUCGUGUUUCCCCUCAACUUCUUACAUCUGAAACACCCAGAACUCCAUCCUUUGUUUUCCUCAUCUAUGUUUCCCUCCAUUAGUGAUCUCAUCCACUUUCAAAGAUGUGCAUGUUAUCUAUAAGUAUCCAAAAGGAGAAAUUCCCACAGGCUGCUGUAGUGCCCUGAAAACAGGCUAGCAAGAGAAGACUCUUCAAGUUCAGUGUGGGCUACAGCCAAAACAAAAACCUGGAGACAGAGCAGAACGGUAUGGUGCGCUGGAGUCAGAAAGGGAACACCAUUCUAGGUUUCUAAUAAACUGACGUAGAUAUUGGGAGAGGUGACAGAGGAGGACUGUGUAGAAGGAUGAACACAAUGGUACCCUGAAGCUGAAAGCAACUGUAAGCAAUCCUAUGUUUCCAAUACGCUCUCCAUAUAAAUGCUUCUCCCAUUGUUUCUGUGACACCCUCUGCUUUUCACUUAAGUACCCUCUUCACAAGUAAAAUUUGCAAAGAGUCCUCUUUCUAUAUUGGAAGGCCUGGCUACUUUUCUAUGAUUGCAGUUUACCCUGCAUUCUGUGUGAGCAUAAACACAUAAAAUAUUUAUACAUCCCUCCAAUCUAUAGAAAAGUCACUU